UGACCACUGGACCACUUAUAGUGAUGGUCGUGGUGAGGAGUUAUUAGCGGGCAACAGCAACACCUACUUGGCCCAGACCUCACAGUUAAGUCCGCCCAUCAUAGCGGCCAGGGUCAGGUUUGUCCCCUACAGCGACCACCCGAGGACUGUCUGUAUGAGAGUCGAGCUGUACGGCUGUCGCUAUACAGACGGACUGGUAUCAUACACGAUGCCUGACGGUGACCCCAAGGCGGCGACUACAAC